rnacentral:rRNA from 1 species
UACGGGGGGGGCAAGCGUUGUUCGGAAUUACUGGGCGUAAAGGGCUCGUAGGUGGCCAACUAAGUCAGACGUGAAAUCCCUCGGCUUAACCGGGGAACUGCCUUUGAAACUGUUUGGCUCGAGUCCGGGAGGGGGUAGCGGAAUUCCCAGUGUAGCGGUGAAAUGCGUAGAUAUUGGGAGGAACACCAGUGGCGAAGGCGGCUACCUGGACCACAACUGACGCUGAGGCGCGAAAGCUAGGGGAGCAAACAGG